GUCUGCAACAAAAAAUUUCAGCAUUGAAAAUAAACUUGGAGAAGGCGGAUUUGGUGCAGUAUAUAAGGGUACCUUGAAGAAUGGAAAAAUAGUUGCAGUGAAGAAAUUAACUUUACGACAAUCCAAGAGGAUAGAAGAAGAAUUUGAGAGUGAAGUGAAACUUAUACGUAACGUUCAUCAUCGGAAUCUUGUCCGGCUUCUUGGAUGUUGCAGUAAAGGCAAUCAGAGAAUUCUGGUUUAUGAAUACAUGGAAAAGACCAGUCUUGACAGAUUCUUAUUUGAGGAUAUACAGCCCCUGAAUAUGCAAUUCAUGGACAGCUAUCAGAAAAAGUUGAUGUAUAUAGUUAUGGUGUUAUAAUCCUAGAAAUUGUUAGUGGUAAAAGAAACAAUGAAUUAAAUGCCGAUGGUGCUGAUGAAGGCGGAUUCCUCCUUCAAAAAGCUUGGAACUUGUAUAAGAGAGGCAUACAUUUAGAAUUGGUGGAUGAGACCUUAGAACCUAAUGAUUAUGAUGCAGAAGAAGUGAAGAAAAUAAUAGAGAUUGGUUUACUUUGCACACAAGCAUCUGUAGAAAUGAGGCCAAAGAUGUCUGAAGUAGUUGCAUUGCUCCAACAAAAGGAUUUAUCAGAGGAUAUGAGACCUACUAUGCCUAUUUUGAUUGAAAUUGGUUAAAGGUUCAUGGAAGACACUUGGAUUUUAACCUCUGGUACCUUCUCUACAUAUGAAGGUGUCGCUUUAAGUUUUGAACUCAAAAAAGCAAAAGCCAAAAAAAAAAAACAAAAAACUAGAAGAAGGAGAAGUCUCGAAAUGAUUGUCCUUGAUUCAUUCCAUUUUUGUGCGUAAUAAAACCAAUUAUAUAAGUGUAUGUGUAUUGAUAAUUACAUAUAAAAUUUGAUAGGCAUGUAUGUAUACUUAUAAAACCAAUUAUAUUAUAUGUCUUGUGUAUAUGAUUUCACUUGAUAUGUAUAAAUUAAUUGUUGAACAA